UGGCUCAGCAUGGCGCUUGCAAUGCCAAGAAUGUGGGUUCAAAUCCCAC
rnacentral:tRNA from 1 species